rnacentral:rRNA from 1 species
AGUGAACGCUGGCGGUAGGCCUAACACAUGCAAGUCGAACGGCAGCACAGUAAGAGCUUGCUCUUACGGGUGGCGAGUGGCGGACGGGUGAGGAAUACAUCGGAAUCUACUUUUUCGUGGGGGAUAACGUAGGGAAACUUACGCUAAUACCGCAUACGACCUACGGGUGAAAGCAGGGGAUCUUCGGACCUUGCGCGAUUGAAUGAGCCGAUGUCGGAUUAGCUAGUUGGCGGGGUAAAGGCCCACCAAGGCGACGAUCCGUAGCUGGUCUGAGAGGAUGAUCAGCCACACUGGAACUGAGACACGGUCCAGACUCCUACGGGAGGCAGCAGUGGGGAAUAUUGGCCAAUGGGCGCAAGCCUGAUCCAGCCAUACCGCGUGGGUGAAGAAGGCCUUCGGGUUGUAAAGCCCUUUUGUUGGGAAAGAAAAGCAGCAGGUUAAUACCCCGCUGUUCUGACGGUACCCAAAGAACAAGCACCGGCUAACUUCGUG